GACGAACGCUGGCGGCGUGCUUAACACAUGCGAGUCGAACGGAAAGGCCUCUUUCGGGGGGUACUCGAGUGGCGAACGGGUGAGUAACACGUGAGUAACCUGCCCUUGACUUUGGGAUAACUUCAGGAAACUGGGGCUAAUACCGGAUAGGAGCUCCUGCUGCAUGGUGGGGGUUGGAAAGUUUCGGCGGUUGGGGAUGGACUCGCGGCUUAUCAGCUUGUUGGUGGGGUAGUGGCUUACCAAGGCUUUGACGGGUAGCCGGCCUGAGAGGGUGACCGGCCACGUUGGGACUGAGAUACGGCCCAGACUCCUACGGGAGGCAGCAGUGGGGAAUAUUGCACAAUGGGUGGAAGCCUGAUGCAGCAACGCCGUGUGCGGGAUGACGGCCUUCGGGUUGUAAACCGCUUUCGCUCAUGACGAAGCUUUGUGUGACGGUAGUGGGUAAAGAAGCACCGGCUAACUACGUG
rnacentral:rRNA from 1 species